UACGUAGGAGGCGAGCGUUGUCCGGAAUUACUGGGCGUAAAGAGCGCGUAGGCGGCACGGUACGACCGGUGUGAAAGCCCCCGGCUCAACUGGGGAGGGUCACCGGUAACGGCCGAGCUACGAGUGCAGGAGAGGGAAGUGGAACGUCCGGGAGUAGCGGUGAAAUGCGUAGAGACCCGGAGGAACACCAGUGGCGAAGGCGGCUUCCUGGUCUGCAACUGACGCUGUGGCGCGAAAGCUAGGGGAGCAAACGGG
rnacentral:rRNA from 1 species